rnacentral:rRNA from 1 species
UUUCCUACGCAACGUUCAUCGGCGUAGGGUGAGUCGGCUCCUAAGGCGAGGCAGAAAUGCGUAGUCGAUGGGAAACAGGUCAAUAUUCCUGUACCGAUUCUAGAUGCGAUGUGGGGACGGAGAAGGUUAGGUCAGCCGGGUGUUGGACGUCCCGGUUUAAGCGUGUAGGCGUGCCCCUUAGGCAAAUCCGGGGGGCUGAGCUGAGGCGUGAUGACGAGGAACCACGGUUCCGAAGUGAUUGAUACCAAGCUUCCAGGAAAAGCCACUAAGCUUCAGUCUAGAGUUGACCGUACCGCAAACCGACACAGGUGGGCAGGAUGAAAAUUCUAAGGCGCUUGAGAGAACUCAGGAGAAGGAACUCGGCAAAUUAACACCGUAACUUCGGGAGAAGGUGUGCCCCGGUAGCGUGUAGAGACUUGCUCUCGAAGCGCGAUGGGGUUGCAGUGAAAUGGUGGCUGCGACUGUUUAAUAAAAACACAGCACUCUGCAAACACGAAAGUGGACGUAUAGGGUGUGACGCCUGCCCGGUGCCGGAAGGUUAAGUGAUGGGGUGCAAGCUCUUGAUCGAAGCCCCGGUAAACGGCGGCCGUAACUAUAACGGUCCUAAGGUAGCGAAAUUCCUUGUCGGGUAAGUUCCGACCUGCACGAAUGGCGUAACGAUGGCCACACUGUCUCCUCCUGGGACUCAGCGAAGUUGAAAUGUUUGUGAAGAUGCAAUCUACCCGCGGCUAGACGGAAAGACCCCAUGAACCUUUACUGUAGCUUUGCAUUGGACUUUGAACCGGUUUGUGUAGGAUAGGUGGGAGACUGUGAAGCCGGGACGCUAGUUUCGGUGGAGUCAACCUUGAAAUACCACCCUGAUUUGUUUGAGGUUCUAACCUUGGUCCGUGAAUCCGGAUCGGGGACCGUGCACGGUAGGCAGUUUGACUGGGGCGGUCUCCUCCCAAAAGGUAACGGAGGAGUACGAAGGUACGCUUAGGGCGGUCGGACAUCGCCCACAAAGUGCAAUGGCAAAAGCGUGCUUGACUGCGAGACCCACAAGUCGAGCAGGUACGAAAGUAGGUCAUAGUGAUCCGGUGGUUCUGUAUGGAAGGGCCAUCGCUCAACGGAUAAAAGGUACUCUGGGGAUAACAGGCUAAUUCCUCCCAAGAGUUCAUAUCGACGGGGGAGUUUGGCACCUCGAUGUCGGCUCAUCACAUCCUGGGGCUGUAGUCGGUCCCAAGGGUAUGGCUGUUCGCCAUUUAAAGUGGUACGCGAGCUGGGUUUAAAACGUCGUGAGACAGUUUGGUCCCUAUCUGCCGUGGGCGCUGGAAAUUUGAAGGGGGCUGCUCCUAGUACGAGAGGACCGGAGUGGACGAACCUCUGGUGUACCGGUUAUGACGCCAGUCGUAUCGCCGGGUAGCUAAGUUCGGAAGAGAUAAACGCUGAAAGCAUCUAAGCGUGAAACUCGCCUUAAGAUAAGAUUUCCCGGAGUCUUGAACUCCCUGAAGGGUCGUCGAAGACCACGACGUUGAUAGGUCAGGUGUGGAAGCGCAGCAAUGCGUUAAGCUAACUGAUACUAAUUGCCCGUGCGGCUUGAUC